rnacentral:rRNA from 1 species
UACGAAGGAGGCUAGCGUUGUUCGGAAUUACUGGGCGUAAAGCGCACGUAGGCGGAUAUUUAAGUCAGGGGUGAAAUCCCGCAGCUCAACUGCGGAACUGCCUUUGAUACUGGGUAUCUUGAGUAUGGAAGAGGUAAGUUGAAUUCCGAGUGUAGAGGUGAAAUUCGUGGAUAUUCGGAGGAACACUAGUGGCGAAGGCGGCUUACUGGUCCAUUACUGACGCUGAGGUGCGAAAGCGUGGGGAGCAAACAGG